rnacentral:rRNA from 1 species
UACGUAGGGUGCAAGCGUUGUCCGGAAUUAUUGGGCGUAAAGAGCUCGUAGGCGGUUUGUCGCGUCGACUGUGAAAACCCGAGGCUUAACCUCGGGCCUGCAGUCGAUACGGGCAGACUAGAGUUCGGUAGGGGAGACUGGAAUUCCUGGUGUAGCGGUGAAAUGCGCAGAUAUCAGGAGGAACACCGGUGGCGAAGGCGGGUCUCUGGGCCGAUACUGACGCUGAGGAGCGAAAGCGUGGGGAGCGAACAGG